GGUCUAGUAGUUUAAAAAGAAUUUGCUUUUGAAGGGGGUGAGGUGUUAUGUUCCUAGGCCA
rnacentral:tRNA from 1 species